rnacentral:rRNA from 1 species
CCUAUGGGUGGCUGCAGUGAGGAAUAUUGGUCAAUGGGCGCGAGCCUGCACCAGCCAAGUAGCGUGAAGGCUGACUGCCCUACGGGUUGUAAACUUCUUUUAUAAAGGAAUAAAGUGAGGCACGUGUGCCUUUUUGUAUGUACUUUAUGAAUAAGGAUCUGCUAACUCCGUGCCAGCAGCCGCGGUAAUACGGAGGAUCCGAGCGUUAUCCGGAUUUAUUGGGUUUAAGGGGAGCGUAGAUGGGUUGUUAAGUCAGUUGUGAAAGUUUGCGGCUCAACCGUAAAAUUGCAAUUGAUACUGGCAGUCUUGAGUACAGUUGAGGUAGGCGGAAUUCGUGGUGUAGCGGUGAAAUGCUUAGAUAUCACGAAGAACUCCGAUUGCGAAGGCAGCUUACUAAACUGCCACUGACAUUGAUGCUCGAAAGUGUGGGUAUCAAACAGGAUUAGAUACCCUGUAGUC